ACUUGAAUAGCUUAUGUUUAGAGCACGACACUGAAGAUGUCGAUGAGGCAUUAAUGCCUUUAAGUG
rnacentral:tRNA from 1 species